GGAGGGUAGCAAAUUAUAUUAUAGAACACGCAAUACAUUAUUCCAUUUAUUAAUUUGAUACAACAAUCAAAGUAUGAUGGAAGCAGUAUCAAAGCAUGCAAGCAGAUCUAGAUAAUGGAUACACUAGAAGUGCCUCAAUGCAUGGCGCGGUUUGUAUCGAACUCGUUCGCAUUAUUUAGUUUACUCAAGCUUUGUAUCCAGUAGAGAUGAAGAGCCAGAAUCACAGGACAGGCUAUCCCUGGGUCGGGACCCGGUCUACGAUGAAGUUGGAACCAACGUCAAGGAAGCACCAGACGAUGACGCGGUCAAGCUCUUCAAUUGGUGGCUCCGGAUCAGAACCCACUAUCAUGUUAAUGACACGCAGGUCCGGUCGAUCCUGUUGGAUAACUUUAUCGGCGUCUUCACAAUGCUUGUGCAACAAGUCUGGCCACGAUUGCCGCUCCGGAAUACCCGACAUAGCUCUCCCGAAUCCGCUGCGAAUUAACAAGAGUAAAAGCAAUUGAACAACACAUGCAGCCGAGAUCAGUAGAGACAGGAUUCAAUUCUUCUCCUAAAAAAAUGUUGGCAUUAACUUCAUACAUAGGUUUCGGAACUAUGCUAACAUCGUACAUGAUGAAAGUAUACCUAUACCAAGUAAAAAAGGUGCUUGAUCGGAAAGCACUAUUAUGAGGUUAAUAUAAAACACCUGCAAACGAGCCUGCAGUAUACAGGGAGAAGAAAGGGCAAAGUUGAAUCAGGAGCUGGCUGCCCUACUGCG
rnacentral:lncRNA from 1 species